GCAUGCAUAGCAUGCAGGCUCAAUACAUCAUAAUGAAAGUGUGUAGCAUGCAUGUUCAAUAUAUUACAUUGAGCAUCCAUAGGAUGCAUACUCAAUACAUAAUAAUGAACGUUAAUAUAUGAGUGUGCAUAGCAUGCAUGCUCAAUACAUGAUAUUGAACAUGUAUAUCCUACACACUCAAUACAUUAUAAUGAGCGUGCAUAGCAUGCAGGCUCAAUACAUCAUAAUGAGAGUGCAUAGCAUGCACACUCAAUACAUAAUAAUUAGCGUGCUUAUCUGAUCAAUACCUGAUGUUGAGCGUGCAUAGCCUGCACAGUCAGUACAUGAUAAUGAGCCUGCAUAGCUGAGUGUGCAUAACAUGCACACUCAAUACAUGAUAAUGAGUUUGCUUAGCUGAGCGUGCAUAGCAUGCAGGCUCAAAAUAUGAUAUUGAGCAGCCCUAGCUUGCUGUCGCUAUAAAUACAAUGUGCAGAGUAUUAUUAAACCUUGUAUAAUUGAUUAUUGUACUGAAAAAGGAUGAUAGCCACUAACAUGUUAUCUCAACAAGACCAAAACCAAGUAAUGGAGAAUUUUGCUUUAGGCUAUUACAUACUCUAUUAAUAUAUUUACUAAAGGCAACUGGAUAUUCAUACGCUGCAGAGGAGGAAAGGGAUGAAGAAUAUAAUCCUGAAGAAUCUUCUGAUGAGGAAGAUUAUAGUAUUCAACAGGAGACGGAAAGUGACAGUGAGGAGGAAACAGCUGCAACAAUACAUGAAAUAACGCCGAAACGAAAAGCUCUUCUGGAAAGACUAAGAAAAAAGGCAGUACUACAUGGCGAGCUACAUGAGCACUCUUUCCAAAACG